ACAACAACUCAGUGAAUAAUACUUUUAGUUAUUUGUCAGACGAGCGAAUAUGCUCUAACGCCUCUGAAUUUUUUUUUUGUAAGAUCGACUUUAUUAUCUGUCGCUCGUCUGAUGACGCUGGCUCCAUAGCGGUAGAGAAGGAUGAGAGAUCUGAUCCCACAGCGAGUUAGGGCACAGAACAUCCGAGCCGUUGGUGAGAA
rnacentral:lncRNA from 1 species